rnacentral:rRNA from 1 species
AUUGAACGCUGGCGGCAUGCCUUACACAUGCAAGUCGAACGGUAACAGGUCUUCGGAUGCUGACGAGUGGCGAACGGGUGAGUAAUACAUCGGAACGUGCCUAGUAGUGGGGGAUAACUACUCGAAAGAGUGGCUAAUACCGCAUGAGAUCUACGGAUGAAAGCAGGGGAUCGCAAGACCUUGUGCUACUAGAGCGGCCGAUGGCAGAUUAGGUAGUUGGUGGGAUAAAAGCUUACCAAGCCGACGAUCUGUAGCUGGUCUGAGAGGACGAUCAGCCACACUGGGACUGAGACACUGCCCAGACUCCUACGGGAGUCAGCAGUGGGGAAUUUUGGACAAUGGGCGCAAGCCUGAUCCAGCAAUGCCGCGUGCAGGAUGAAGGCCUUCGGGUUGUAAACUGCUUUUGUACGGAACGAAAAGCCCUGGGUUAAUACCCUGGGGUCAUGACGGUACCGUAAGAAUAAGCAUCGGCUAACUACGUGCCAGCCGCCGCCGUAAUAC